AGUGAACGCUGGCGGUAGGCCUAACACAUGCAAGUCGAACGGCAGCACAGUAAGAGCUUGCUCUUACGGGUGGCGAGUGGCGGACGGGUGAGGAAUAAAUCGGAAUCUACUUUUUCGUGGGGGAUAACGUAGGGAAACUUACGCUAAUACCGCAUACGACCUACGGGUGAAAGCAGGGGAUCUUCGGACCUUGCGCGAUCGAAUGAGUCGAUGUCGGAUUAGCUAGUUGGCGGGGUAAAGGCCCACCAAGGCGACGAUCCGUAGCUGGUCUGGGAGGAUGAUCAGCCACACUGGAACUGAGACACGGUCCAGACUCCUACGGGAGGCAGCAGUGGGGAAUAUUGGACAAUGGGCGCAAGCCUGAUCCAGCCAUACCGCGUGGGUGAAGAAGGUCUUCGGGUUGUAAAGCCCUUUUGUUGGGAAAGAAAAGCAGCAGGUUAAUACCCCGCUGUUCUGACGGUACCCAAAGAGUAAGCACCGGCUAACUUCGUG
rnacentral:rRNA from 1 species